rnacentral:rRNA from 1 species
UACGUAGGGGGCAAGCGUUGUCCGGAAUUAUUGGGCGUAAAGCGCGCGCAGGCGGCUUUGUAAGUCUAGUGUUUAAUCUCGGAGCUCAACUCCGAUUCGCACCGGAAACUGCAAGGCUUGAGUACAGAAGAGGAAAGUGGAAUUCCACGUGUAGCGGUGAAAUGCGUAGAGAUGUGGAGGAACACCAGUGGCGAAGGCGACUUUCUGGACCACAACUGACGCUGAGGCGCGAAAGCUAGGGGAGCAAACAGG